rnacentral:tRNA from 1 species
GGUGCUGUGCCAUAGCAGGUGAGGCUGCUGCCUGCAGUGCUGGCAUCCCUUAUGGACACAGGUUCGAGUCCUGUCAGCUCCA